rnacentral:lncRNA from 1 species
CUCCAACCCUGUAGGUUUCCACUCCAACCCUGUUCCUGGAGAGCUACUGUCCUGUAGGUUUCCACUCCAACCCUGUUCCUGGAGAGCUACUGUCCCGUAGGUUUCCAUUCCAACCCUGUUCCUGGAGAGCUACUGUCCUGUAGGUUUCCACUCCAACCCUGUUCCUGGAGAGCUACUGUCCUGUAGGUUUCCACUCCAACCCUGUUCCUGGAGAGCUACUGUCCUGUAGGUUUCCACUCCAACCAUGUUCCUGGAGAGCUACUGUCCUGUAGGUUUCUACUCCAACCCUGUUCCUGGAGAGUUACUGUCCUUUAGGUUUCCACUCCAACCCUGUUCCUGGAGAGCUACGGUCCUGUAGGUUUCUACUCCAACCCUGUUCCUGGAGAGCUACUGUCCUGUAGGUUUCCACUCCAACCCUGUAGGUUUCCACUCCAACCCUGUUCCUGGAGAGCUACUGUCCUGUAGGUUUCCACUCCAACCCUGUUCCUGGAGAGCUACUGUCCUGUAGGUUUCUACUCCAACCCUGUUCCUGGAGAGCUACUGUCCUGUAGGUUUCUACUCCAAACCUGUUCCUGGAGAGCUACUGUCCUGUAGGUUUCCAUUCCAACCCUGUUCCUGGAGAGCUACUGUCCUGUAGGUUUCCACUCCAACCCUGUUCCUGGAGAGCUACUGUCCU